GUGUUGGAGAGUCUCCUGAAGUGGUGAGGGCCGCUGCUGCUCACUCUGGGGAACCUCAACUCCAAGAGCUUGUGAACAUAUCAGCUGCCAUAAUGGCUCCUUAGUGAGGGACACCUGGCCCCAUACACAGCCUGCAGAUAAUAGUGCUGGGAUGCCCAAGCCAAGCAACUAAGUGGAUGGAAACAGAUCCCCAACUCUCAGCACACAAGCUGCCUAAACACUAAAGAGCCAAAGGGCCAGCAGCUGCCCGUAGACAUGGCACAACCCACCAGAGGACCAAGACCCAGCUUCACCCACCAGUGGGCAGGUGCUGGCUCCUCCUACUAGGAAGCCAGACUCUACAUCUAGACCAGCCUCAUCCACCAGGGAGCAGACACCAGAAGCAAGAAAACUGAGAUCCCACAUAACAGAAAGGAACAUCUGAUCCUGCACCAUCCCCACUGUAAUCAGGGUGGAACAAAAGGCAGAUCCUUGGAAACAGUCCCAUCUCCUGUUCUGGCUGGGUAUGUUCCAGGUGCAUUAUUUGGCUAGCCUGCUCUGAACUGUGUAUGGCUUUGGCACCUGCUAUUCCUUCCACUGGGAAGAUCUCUCCUCCAUCCUGACAGCUUACUACUUCUAUAUCUUGGAAACCUUACCUGACCUUCCAGGCAAGCAUCAGGCAUCUGAAGCUUAGAAAAAUGAAGACUGAAGCUAAAACUUGGAUCUCUCUGGCAGCAAAAGUAUAUGACCACUGUCUCUAAAUGAGAGAGAGAAUGGAAAGUCAAGACGAUGAUGUUGUAAGACAUAAACAGCUUCAGCUUUGCUGGAUUUCAGCUACCAUUUCAUAAACUGUUAGAAGGUAUGACAUAACUUGCCCUCCAGUCCCUUGCAUGCUUGUCCUGAUUGACACUCACCAAAGACAGUCCUUGCUGGUACAGACUCUCU